AUUGAACGCUGGCGGCAGGCCUAACACAUGCAAGUCGAACGAGUGGCGGAGGGGUGAGUAAUGUCUGGGAAACUGCCCGAUGGAGGGGGCUAACUACUGGAAAGGGUAGCUAAUACCGCCUACCAUCGGAUGUGCCCAGAUGGGAAUAGCGAGGAGGUGGGGUCACGGCUCACCUAGGCGACGAUCCCUAGCUGGUCUGAGCGGAUGACCCGCCACACUGGACCAGAGACUCGUUCCAGACUCCAUCGGGAGGCAGCAGUGGGUAAUAUUGCACAAUGGGCGCAAGCCUUAUGCAGCCAUGCCGCGUGUAUGAAGAAGGCCUUCGGGUUGUAAAGUACUUUCAGCGAGGAGGCGUUACUCGCAGAAGAAGCACCGGCUAACUCCGCGCCAGCCGCCGCGGUAAUAC
rnacentral:rRNA from 1 species